rnacentral:rRNA from 1 species
AAUCAACGCUGGCGGCGUGCCUCAGACAUGCAAGUCGAACGCGAAAGUCUCCUUCGGGAGACGAGUAGAGUGGCGCACGGGUGAGUAACACGUAGGUUAUCUACCUCCGAGUGGGGAAUAACAGCCGGAAACGGCUGCUAAUACCGCAUAAUACCGAAAGGUCAAAGCUUUAUGUGCUUGGAGAGGAGCCUGCGGCAGAUUAGCUAGUUGGUAAGGUAAUGGCUACCAAGGCGACGAUCUGUAUCCGGUCUAAGAGGACGGUCGGACACACUGACACUGAAUAACGGGUCAGACUCCUACGGGAGGCAGCAGUC